AUGCCGCCCCCUGCAAAUAUGCUGCCCAAAGCACCUGCUUGUUUUGUUGGUGCCUAGAGCCGGCCCUGGAUGGGAGGGGAAAAUAAAUCUCACUUAUACAUUGUCUGUCCUGGGAUGGUUGUGAGGCUGCAAGGAUUUUGGUUCCAUUUGCCAGGAAGGAGUUAAAAUUCAGGCAGCAGAAAAGCCAGAAACUGCUGAGAAGCAAGGACAUAGUUUCUGUCAAUACAUGAUAACUUAGUUCAGCUUAUCGGUAAGAAGGAACAAAGCUUGUGCCCAUGGAAAGCGACAGUUCAGUGAGGAAAACAGGAUCAGGACGAGACAAGCAAGCAGGGAUAUUUCAGUAGCACAAACGGCACUGACAAUUGAUAAGCUUAUAUGGUUAAUGCCCACCCAGUAACUUAGUUCUUAGAACAGAAUAAACCCUCCGUUCACAGCCCACUGGAUAUCUACACUCUGCCGUCUGCACUAGAGACAAAAAGAGGAGGAUCCCUAGGAGCACGCAGACAGGGUAUCAGCAUGGAUUGGCGGGGGCCCUUCGGAGGUGGGAGCCAUCAGCGUUAGUGCACAGCUGAUUUCACAUCCAUUGGAUUCAGAGAAAUACCUUUCCAGUGUCCCCCUGCACCACUGCGAUCACCCCUCUGCUAUAGAUGUGAAACUUGAUUGACAUAUGUGAUCGCUCUGAUCAGCAUCUGUAUGUGGAGAGGCUGGGGUCCCCCCCACUCCCCUUAGUGUUGAAAGGCGCUGGAUUUCAGCGCCUCUUGCAUUCCACAGGUGCCGGGGAAGGCAGAGCGAGCUGCGAUGUGAAUCCACGUGAUCGCUUUUAGUCCACAGCCCCAGCUCUGCCUCCACGCUGGGCAUCAGUGUAAUUCCUGCUUCCCCCAGGGAGAUCAGACCCACUCCAUGUGUUCAACCUCCCAGGAAGCGGAGAAAUCAGACUAAUGCCUAGAUUCCAAGGCCAGAAGGGAUCACAGAGAUAUAAUCUCAUCUGCCCUCCUCUAGACCAGCCCAGAGACCUGCCCCCAAAUAAUUCCUACCACAGAGCUUUUCUAUUUGUCUGACAAUUUUAUUCUUAACUAUUGUUUUGACUAAUUUCAUCAGUACCGACGUUAGACUUAACGUUCUAUAAUUGCCGGGAUCACCUCUAGAGUCCUUUUUAAAUAUUGGCGUUACAUUAGCUAACUUCCAGUCAUUGAGUACAGAAGCCGAUUUAAAGGACAGGUUACAAACCUUAGUUAAUAGUUCCGCAACUUCCAUCUGGUCCCGGUGACUUGUUAAUGUUAAGUUUAUCAAUUAAUUCCAAAACCUCCUCUAGUGACACUUCAAUCUGUAACAAUUGCUCAGAUUUGUCACCUACAAAAGCCGGAUCAGGUUUGGGACUCCCUCUAACCUCCUCAGCCGUGAAGACUGAAGCAAAGAAUCCGUUUAGUUUCUCCACAAUGACUUUGUUGUCGUUAAGCGCUCCUUUUGUAUCUCGAUCAUCAAGGGGCCCCACUGGUUGUUUAGCAGGCUUCCUGCUUCUGAUGUACUUAAAAAACAUUUUGUUAUUACCUUUGGAGUUUUUGGCUAGCCAUUCUUCAAACUCCUCUUUGGCUUUUCUUAUUACAUUCUUGCACUUAAUUUGGCAGUGUUUAUACUCCUUUCUAUUUGCCUCACUAGGAUUUGACUUCCACUUUUUAAAGGAAGUCUUUUUAUCUCUCACUGCUUCCUUUACAUGGUUGUUAAGCCACGGUGCCUCUUUUUUAGUUCUUUUACUGUGUUUCUUAAUUUGGGGUAUACAUUGAAGUUGGGCCUCUAUUAUGGUGUCUUUAAAAAGCGCCCAUGCAGCUUGCAGGGAUUUCACUUUAGUCACUGUACUUUUUAACUUCUGUUUAACUAACCCCCUCAUUUUUGCAUAGUUCCCCCUUUUGAAAUUAAAUGCCACAGUGUUGGGCUGUUGAGAUGUUCUUCCCACCACAGGGAUGUUAAAUGCUAUUGUAUGGCUUGUGGGUAAAACACAUGACUGGGGCUCUGGCGAGGGACAGUCAGUUCCUGCCUCCACUGUGAAUUCCCUGCUCCUCUGUCAGUGCCUCAGUUUCCCACGAGUGUGUCUCUCGCUCCCCAUGACUUUAGAAUAGGAACACUACCGAACUGGAGCUGGUUGAAUAUUGGCAAUUUUGAAAUUAAAAAAAAAAACAUUUCAAAAGGGAACAAAAAAGCUUCAGUUCAGACCCCUCCUAUUGUUUCAUUUUGAUCCCGGAGGUUUAUUUUGGUUUGCUGGUCACCUUUUAUGAAAUAUGAUGCUAUACCAUGUUGGCAACAGGAACUGAAAUGAUUAAAAAUGUCACCAAAAUCUA